ensembl:snoRNA
CACCCCUGACACUGGGUAGAGAGACACCUCUCUGGUGGUGUUCUUCUCAUAUCAGUCAGGGGCAAAGCAGUAGCCCAAGUUCAUCCCAGCUUGAUGCUUUGCUAGGUGGCCAUAGCUGGUUCAUGCCCUGGGCACAAAA